rnacentral:lncRNA from 1 species
GGGAGGCCGGGAGGGGUCCCUGGGCGGGGAGUUGCUGCGCAUCUGUUGUGUGUGUGCGUCUGUCUGUCUGUUCAGGUCUGUUUUAGGCUGUGUCUGCCUGUCUCUCUGUCUGGGUCUCUUUCAGGCUGCGUCGGUCUGUCUGUCUGGGUCUGUUUCAGGCUGUGUCUGUCUGUCUGUCUGGGUCUGUUUCAGGCUGUGUCUGUCUGUCUGUCCGGGUCUGUUUCAGGCUGUGUCUGUCUGUCUGUCCGGGUCUGUUUCAGGCUGUGUCUGGGUCUGUUUCAGGCUGUCUGUCUGUCUGUCUGGGUCUGUUUCAGGCUGUGUCUGUCUGUCUGUUUGUCUGGGUCUGUUUCAGGCUGUAUGUGUGUCUGCUCUUUGCUUCUGCUCCUGGCUCUGUGUGUAUUUCCCGG